ACUCUUUGGUUUCCGCCCUGGAGCAAGCCGGGGCCUGGUCGGCAGCUGGGCCGCCAUGGAGUCCACGCUGGGCGCGGGCAUCGUGAUAGCCGAGGCGCUACAGAACCAGCUAGCCUGGCUGGAGAACGUGUGGCUCUGGAUCACUUUUCUGGGCGAUCCCAAGAUCCUCUUUCUGUUCUACUUCCCCGCGGCCUACUACGCCUCCCGCCGUGUGGGCAUCGCGGUGCUCUGGAUCAGCCUCAUCACCGAGUGGCUCAACCUCAUCUUCAAGUGGUGAGACAGAGAAGCCCUCCGGCAUCGUGGUCCCCACCCCCGAGGGCCCUGAGUCAUGUGUAAGCCCUGGUCUCUUUCAGCAACUGUCUCAAGGGCCUUCCCACCCCUACUCUGUAGUCCCUGAUUUUUUUUCCCCUUGAGCAUCUUUGUGCAGCUUGGACUCAAACCUCAGAGUCCAACCAUCCUACUCAUUAGACCAGUGUUCUUCAAACUGGUCUGAUGGAAAAAUCACCUAAGGGGCGUGUCUAAAAUGUAAAUAUCCCAUCCUCAUCUCACACUUACUAAUUUAGAAACUCCAAGGGGUUGGGAAUUUAUUUUUUAUUUUUUAUUUUUGGUUUAUGGCAAUUCAUAUUUUAACAAAUAUGGUGAUUUAAGUAGUGGAGAGUCCUACCUCUCAACUCACUUUUUCAUUCAUCUAUUCAUUCAUUUGCUAUAAUUUUUCAGAAGCAUGCUUUGUGCUGGGCAUCACGGUAGCUGCUAAGGACAGAGACACCUUGCAGAUUAAGGUGUGAUCCCUGGACCAUGCCCAACGGCAUAGGCAGCACUUGAAAACUGGCUAAAAACGCAGACUCUCAGGCCCCGGGCCAGAGCUACUGAAUCAAAAUCUGCAUUUUAACAAGGUUCCCAGGUGAUUCCCUGUGCGUACGCAGUAAAGUUUGGGCUAAAGCACUGCUUUCCAGGGAACACUUUCUCUUCUUUCUCUUUCAUUCACCAGUAGACUCUUCACACUGAGACUUAGAAGCCAGGAAUCCCAGGGACAUGGGUGGAGGCCCUGUGGCCCCUGGGGCUGGGCAUGCAGCCACACCUCCCUUCACCUCAGCCUCUGUUGCCAGAUCCUCAGCCUGAGGGAAGGAAGGGAGGCUCAUAGGAGGUAUUUCAAUGAGCUGGAAUGACUUGCUGAAAAACAACAUAGAGUUCCCCUCCCUUCCACUCUUUUCCACGAGGGCCUCAUCCUUAUGUAAAGGGAACCACAGUGAUCUGUUCACUUCUUUCUUGCCUAAUUGCCCUUUGCUUUGUGCUCUCCUCUCUCAAAGUCUGUAUAAGCCUCCCCCUCUAUUCCUUGUCCCCCAAAGAUCACAAUCUCCUUCAGACACUAUUAAUGUCCCCCAAGUGGCAAAGUCCCUAUUCAUUUUCAUUUUCUUUUUUUUUUUUUUUUUUUUUUGGAGACGGAGUCUCACUCAGUCGCCCAGGCUGGAGUGCAGUGGCGCAAUCUUGGCUCACUGCAAACUCCGUCUCCCGGCUUCAUGCCAUUCUCCUGCCUCAGCCUCCCAAGUAGCUGGGAUCACAGGCGUGUGCCACGACACUCGGCUAAUUUUUGUAUUUUUAGUAGAGAAGGGGUUUCGCCUUGUUGGCCGGGCUGGUCUCAAACUCCUGACCUCAGGUGAUCCGCCCGCUUCAGCCUCCCAAAGUGCUGGGAUUAUAGGCGUGAGCAACCUGGCAUUCUUUUUUUUUUUUUUUUUUUAAUUCUUUUUGAGAUGGAGUCUUGCCCUGUUGCCCAGGCUGGCGUGCAAUGGCAUGAUCUUGGCUCACUGCAACCUCUGUCUCUCAGGUUCAAGAGAUUCUUCUGCCUCAGCCUCCCCAGUAGCUGUGAUUAUCGGCACCCACCACUACGCCCGGCUAAUUUUUUAUUUCUAGUAGAGACAGGGUUUCACCUUGUUGGUCAGGCUGGUCUCAAACUCCUGGCCUCAAGUGAUCCACCCUCCUCUGCCUCCCAAAGUGCUGGGAUUACAGGCGUGAGCCACCGCGCCUGGCACCCCCGUUCAUUUUCUGUGUGAGCACUUGUUGUAUAUAUACUAGGCUCAGUUUUCAGAGGGGAGAGGCAAGUGCCUUCUGUAUCUCCCUCCCCAGCACGUGGCUUCCUGCCAGCAUCUCUUUUGCUAUCCCAUCUUUUCUCUUUCUGGCCACAGCAGCCUCUUCAUUGUGUGGUUCCCAGGGCCUAGCCAAGCACUUGCUAGACCAGAGGAUUUUGACAUUUUUUUGUUCUCCUUAUUCUUUCUCAGACUUCUCUGUCCAUCUCCCACCCCCAUUUUCAGAUCUGAGAGGCUCACCUAAAUAAUUUAGGUGUGGAUAAUUCAGGCUGUAACUGGGGACAUGGAGGCAGGGGUAGCAGGAGGGUUAGUGAGGGCCUGGAGGAGACAGCUGGGUCCUAGACUCUCUGUGGAUGAGAGCUGGCCUUGCAGUGAGAGGGGGUAGAGUGGGACGGCUGAGUAUCUCAGAGCACACACACGGCUUACCACAAUCUCUUGCCUCUGUAUCAGUUUUAUUUUUUAUUUUAUUCACUUUUUCUUUUUUUGAGACAGGAUCUCACUCCAUCACCAGGCUGGAGUACAAUGGCACAAUCACAGCUCACUGCAGCCUCAACCUCCUGGGCUCAAGUGCUCCUUCCCACUUCAGCCUCUGGAGUAGCAGGGACUACAGGCGCACCCCAAGAUGCCUGGCUAAUUUUUGUAUUUUUUGUAGAGAUGGGGUUUUGUCAUGUUGCCCAGGCUAUUCUCGAACUCCUGGGCUCAAGUGAUCUGCCCGCCCAGCCUCCCAAGUAGCUGAGACUAUAGGUGUGCACCACCACUCCCAGCUAAUUUUUUGUUUUUGUUGAAUCUGGGUCUUGCUAUGUUGCCCAGGCUGGUCAUGAACUCCUGGCUUCAAGUGAUCCUCCAGCUAAGGCCUCCCAAAGUACUGGGAUUACAGUCAUGAGCCACUGUACCUGGCCCCAGACUAGUUUUUAAAAAUAGUGUUUCCACAGGCUGAGGGUUAGG
rnacentral:sRNA from 1 species